ACGCUCGACACCUACGGGAGGCAGCAGUGGGGAAUAUUGGGCAAUGGGCGCAAGCCUGACCCAGCAACGCCGCGUGAAGGAUGAAGGCUUUCGGGUUGUAAACUUCUUUUAUCAGGGACGAAACAAAUGACGGUACCUGAUGAAUAAGCCACGGCUAACUACGUGCCAACAGCCGCGGUAAUCUGAGCGGGCUGGCAAGGC
rnacentral:rRNA from 1 species